CUGGACUACGAUGGCUUUGACGGGUGACGGAGAAUUAGGGUUCGAUUCCGGAGAAGGAGCCUGAGAAAUGGCUAUUACUUCUAAGGAAGGCAGCAGGCGCGCAAAUUACCCAAUUGGAAUUUCCAGAGGUAGUGAAGAUAAAUAACAAUACCGGAUGCUUUCAGUAUCUGGUAAUUGGAAUGAGAACAAUUUAAAUCCCUUAUCGAGUAUCCAUUGGAGGGCAAGUCUGGUGCCAGCAGCCGCGGUAACACCAGCUCCAAUAGCGUAUAUUAAAGUUGUUGCAGUUAAAAAGCUCGUAGUUGGAUAUCUGAUUAGAUUGGUCUAGCCUGCUCUCUGAGUGUGGCAAGAACGAUCUAAUCAUCCUUCCAGGUAAAGAAGUCUUCGGACUUCUUCUCCUGGAUCCUUUACUUUGAAAAAAUAAGAGUGUUCAAAGCAAGCGUUUUGCUGUGAAUUCAUUAGCAUGGAAUAAUAAAAUAGGACUUUGGCCUAUUUUGUUGGUUUUAGGACCAGAGUAAUGAUUGAUAGGGACAGUUGGGGGUGCUUGUAUUGAACGGCCAGAGGUGAAAUUCUUGGAUUCGUUCAAGACAAACUACUGCGAAAGCAUUCACCAAGGAUGUCUUCUUUAAUCAAGAACGAAAGUUGGGGGAUCGAAGACGAUUAGAUACCGUCGUAGUCUCAACCAUAAACUAUGCCGACUAAGGAUCAGUGAAUGUUUUUUAAAGACUUCAUUGGGACUUUACGAGAAAUCAAAGUUUUUGGGUUCUGGGGGGAGUCUGGUCGCAAGGCUGAAACUUAAAGGAAUUGACGGAAGGGCACACAAGGAGUGGAGCCUGCGGCUUAAUUUGACCCAACACGGGAAAACUUACCAGGUCCAGAGACGCGAAGGAUUGACAGAUUGCAGAUCUUUCUUGAUUGCGUCGUUGGUGGUGCAUGGCCGUUCUUAGUUGGUGGAGUGAUCUGUCUGGUUAAUUCCGCAAACGAACGAGACCAAGACCUGCUAACUAGUUACACAUACAUCCGUGUAUGCUGUAACUUCUUAGAGGGACUGUCGGUUUUUAGCCGAAGGAAGCGCUUGGCAAUAACAGGUCUGUGAUGCCCUUAGAUGUUCUGGGCUGCACGCGCGCUACACUGUUGCAUGCAAUGAGCAUUUCUCCUCGGCCGAAAGGUCUGGGUAAUCUUUUAAUAUGCAACGUGAUGGGGAUUGAUUAUUGCAAUUAUUAGUCAUGAACCAGGAAUUCCUAGUAAACGUGAGUCAUCAGCUCACAUUGAUUACGUCCCUGCCCUUUGUACACACCGCCCGUCGCUCCUACCGAUUGAAUGACCCGGUGAAAUCUUAGGACUUGUCGCUGAGUUUGGCUUGCUAGACUCUUUGUCGGGAAAUUUGAUUAAACCUUAUCAUUUAGAGGAAGGAGAAGUCGUAACAAGGUU
rnacentral:rRNA from 1 species